rnacentral:snRNA from 1 species
ACACUUACCUGGCAGAGGACAUACCCUGAUCACAAAGGUGGUUUUCCCAGGCUAGGGCUUAUCCAUUGCAAUUCCCCAAAUAAGGGAAACUUGACUGCAUAAUGUUAGUAGUGGGGGACUAUGUUCAAGCUCUCCCU